rnacentral:lncRNA from 1 species
CCCCAGACCAAUCAAAAAAGAAUCAUCCGGGUUCAUCUAAAGCAUUAGUAUUUUUUAAACACUCCGCAUAAUUCCAAUGUGCAACCAAGUGUGACAACCCCUGCUGUGGAUCCUGGAUACUCAAAAUGGGCCAGCAUGAUCCAUGUCACCUGGGAGCUUGUUGGAAAUGCAGACUCUCAGACCUCCAGGUGAUUCUUGAGUUUAUUGAAGUUUGAGAAGCUCUUGGAUAGAUAAAUAUUUAUCGCUAACAAAACCUCGGAUCACUUCAAUGCAGCUGCAUUCGUGCAACGUCAGCAUGUUUCCGUCUGUUUGUUUCAGGACCUCAUCGUUGGCCUUUGGAAUGAGAGGCCUGGUAUAUCAGGAGUGGCCCACAGCUACAUUUGUGCUCUGACACGUUGGGAAGCCCCCAUGAUCUGUUCAGAAGAGAGCUAUUCACAGCUCAUUGCCAGGAAGGGGACCUAUGUGAGCAAAGGGGUCAAGUCCAGUCAGCUGGAACUAAGUGAGAAAAAUGCGAUGAUGCUUUAAAGGGAAAUUAGUAUAGCCAGUUUUACUCUCUGGGAAGCUUACACCGGAUAUGAUUUAUUUGUUGACUUUAUGAUAAUAUGGAAAAUGAAGACCUGGUUAAUUUCAGGUGAAUCUGACAUAAAAGGUAAAAUCAUUCUUUCAUUAACCUCCUCUUGCUCUUAAGUACAUACAUAACGGGCAGGCAGCUCCAAAUUCUUCAU